GCCAUAGCUCAAUGGUAGAGCAUCUGCCUUGCAUGCAGAAGGUCUCAGGUUCAAUCCCCAGCAUCUCCA